rnacentral:rRNA from 1 species
GUGGGGAAUCUUGCGCAAUGGGCGAAAGCCUGACGCAGCCAUGCCGCGUGAAUGAUGAAGGUCUUAGGAUUGUAAAAUUCUUUCACCGGGGACGAUAAUGACGGUACCCGGAGAAGAAGCUCCGGCUAACUUCGUGCCAGCGGCCGCGGUAAUACGAAGGGGGCUAGCGUUGCUCGGAAUUACUGGGCGUAAAGGGCGCGUAGGCGGACAGCUUAGUCAGAGGUGAAAGCCCAGGGCUCAACCUUGGAAUUGCCUUUGAUACUGGCUGUCUUGAGUUUGGGAGAGGUGAGUGGAACUCCGAGUGUAGAGGUGAAAUUCGUAGAUAUUCGGAAGAACACCAGUGGCGAAGGCGACUCACUGGCCCAAUACUGACGCUGAGGCGCGAAAGCGUGGGGAGCAAACAGGAUUAGAUACCCCGGUAGUCC